ACAGUGGACAAAAUCGGAUACCUUGAGUCAAAUGACUUGGCUACUUGUCAAGUCUAGGCGCUUACUAUAUCCAGUACAGCCCCAGAGAAACAACCUCCAAAUCUCCUUUCAGACACAGACUUCUACUUCUACUGGAUCUGUACCUUCUGACCAAUCCUCAGACGGUUCCACAGACCCUGGACAGCAAGGAAACAGCCAACUCUCCUAAGACUGGACAAACAUCGCCCAUACCCAUUCUUCUAGGUUCCCUAGGGACAUGUCAGCCCAAAGCCAGCAUGAAGCAGCCAGAUAUCACAACAACCCUAUUCCUGCUUUGCCAUCACCUCUCUUUAAUUUUUUUCUUUU
rnacentral:lncRNA from 1 species